rnacentral:rRNA from 1 species
UACGAAGGGGGGCUAGCGUUGUUCGGAAUUACUGGGCGUAAAGCGCGCGCAGGCGGUUCUCCAAGUCAGUGGUGAAAGCCCGGAGCUCAACUCCGGAACUGCCAUUGAAACUGUUGAACUUGAGGACGAGAGAGGUGAGUGGAAUUCCCCAGUGUAGAGGUGAAAUUCGUAGAUAUUGGGAAGAACACCGGUGGCGAAGGCGGCUCACUGGCUCGUAUCUGACGCUCAGGCGCGAUAGCGUGGGGAUCAAACAGG